CUCCUGAUCAGUCACAUAGGCAAAAGAAUGCUAUAAGGCUUCCUCCCUAGGCAGUCUCACGCCAACACUCUAAUUUCUGUUUCUUGAAAGGAGCAACAGGUUAUUAUAUAACAGAGACAGCACCACAGGGGAGAGGAUGAGGAAGGGUAAUUUUAGCAUCACUAAGGCAGACUGCAGAAACUUCUACUUGGUGACUGAAGAACACUUGUUGGCUCUUAGGAAUGAGAUAAUACAGUAUGUGUAAGAGAAAACAUUCUUCGGCUGGACAGAAGAGACGGAACUGAGAGACAUCUGCGCUCUGAGGGAGAAGAUAGAUAAUCACUGGAAGAUGACUCAGUGAAUAAAUCCACUAAGCCUCAAUGCACUCCACAGCCACUUCUGUGUAUCAUCAGGCUGGGAGGCACAGGUCCAGGACCAUCAAAGAGGUCUGCUUGUGGGGUCUUUGUGGACUACAACUUCAGAGAGGGGCACUUAGGGUGCAUGUUCAGUCAUUGCUGGGUUGGCUCAGUUUUACACAAAAUCUUAGGAACAAGACUCCCUUUUAAUUAUUACAGCUGAUCCUUGAGCAAUAUGGGGCCACUCACACUUGGAUUUAUUUCUAUUCAUGGGUUCAGCAUUCAUAGAUUCUACCAACCAUGAUGUUCAAGAACCAAUUAGAAAUUCCUUGAUCUCUGAAACAAAACCAAUGAGCUCCAAUUUCUUCAUCAAUAUAAAAUGUAAAAUUGGUAGGGGAGUGCUAUAGAACUGAAGAAA